rnacentral:rRNA from 1 species
CGCCUCUUGCUAACAAAGGAAGUACUAGAGGUCCCGCCUGCCCUGUGACCACAAAGUUUAACGGCCGCGGUAUCCUGACCGUGCGAAGGUAGCGUAAUCAUUUGUCUUUUAAAUAGAGACCUGUAUGAAUGGCAUAACGAGGGUUUAACUGUCUCCUUCCCCUAGUCAAUGAAAUUGAUCUGCCCGUGCAGAAGCGGACAUAAACACAUAAGACGAGAAGACCCUAUGGAGCUUUAGACAAAAGAUCAAACAUGUAAAGAAACCAAACCAACCAAAAGGAACACGAAGGCCACAAAACCCAACGUAAACUGAUCUAAAUGUCUUCGGUUGGGGCGACCAUGGGGGAAAGAAAAGCCCCCACGAGGAACAGGGACAACCCCUAAACUAAGAGAGACACCUCUAAGCAACAGAAAAUCUGACCAAAAUGACCCAGGAUACUAAUCCUGAUCAACGAACCAA